AAUAUGUCUCCUCCAUGUCUCAGUGUCUUACUGCAGGUCUAUAAUAUGUCUCCUCUCCUCCAUGUCUCAGUGUCUUACUGCAGGUCUAUAAUAUGUCUCCUCCAUGUCUCAGUGUCUUACUGCAGGUCUAUAAUAUGUCUCCUCCAUGUCUCAGUGUCUUACUGCAGGUCUAUAAUAUGUCUCCUCCAUGUCUCUGUGUCUUACUGCAGGUCUAUAAUAUGUCUCCUCCAUGUCUCAGUGUCUUACUGCAGGUCUAUAAUAUGUCUCCUCCAUGUCUCAGUGUCUUACUGCAGGUCUAUAAUAUGUCUCCUCUCCUCCAUGUCUCAGUGUCUUACUGCAGAUAAACAAACCGUAGUUAGAUC